rnacentral:rRNA from 1 species
ACAAACGACCAUACGCACUGGGAAAAACUCGGGAUCCCGUCUGCUCUCCCCUACCUAGAUAAGCCAGUGAGGGCCAGGUUAGUAGUCGGAUUGGUGACGGCCGGCGAAAACCCCGGUGGUGUAUGUC